AUUGAACGCUGGCGGCAGGCCUAACACAUGCAAGUCGAGCGGAUGAAGGGAGCUUGCUCCUGGAUUCAGCGGCGGACGGGUGAGUAAUGCCUAGGAAUCUGCCUGGUAGUGGGGGAUAACGUCCGGAAACGGGCGCUAAUACCGCAUACGUCCUGAGGGAGAAAGUGGGGGAUCUUCGGACCUCACGCUAUCAGAUGAGCCUAGGUCGGAUUGGCUAGUUGGUGGGGUAAAGGCCUACCAAGGCGACGAUCCGUAACUGGUCUGAGAGGAUGAUCAGUCACACUGGAACUGAGACACGGUCCAGACUCCUGCGGGAGGCAGCAGUGGGGAAUAUUGGACAAUGGGCGAAAGCCUGAUACAGCCAGGCCGCGUGUGUGAAGAAGGUCUUCGGAUUGUAAAGCACUUUAAGUUGGGAGGAAGGGCAGUAAGUUAAUACCUUGCUGUUUUGACGUUACCAACAGAAUAAGCACCGGCUAACUUCGUG
rnacentral:rRNA from 1 species